rnacentral:lncRNA from 1 species
CUUUCUGGAAACGGAGUGUUUUCUGAACUUUCCACUGCACAUAAGCUACAUCUCUUUUUCAGGCCCCUCCUCCUUCCCUCCCCAAAUCACUUUUCCUGCAGAACAUAACCAGCUUUAUUUUUUUCCCCUUUUUUCUUUCUGCACAGAUUACAGCUCCAGCAGCCACUGCCUUGGGGUGAGUUUCAGGGUCAUUUCCACUUUCCUGUGGAAAAAGCUACCCGUCUCACAGAAAAACUGGCAGGCAAAUGUAUUUUGGCACCACUGCCUCACAUUAUAGUUUUGGUUUGCAAGUAAAGUUAACACUUCCCUGCUUAGAUUACAUCCCCCUUUCCUUGUUUCCUUUGUGUGUGUUUUUUCCUUUUUAUUUUUAUUUAUUUUUAUUAAUGUUUUUCAUGUUGUUCUCCCUGCAGGUCAAUGAGUGACAAGCUUUAGCUGAGUAAGCUUCAGCCAUGAGGAAGCACAAUCAAAACAUUUAUUUAUUUCUCCAUGUUUCUGGAAAACUGCAGUAGAAUGUGACAAACCUUAACCAAAGCUAUGUUCAGCAGGGGGCUUUAUCACAGAAACCCUGUACUGAAAUUGUACCCAGAGCUCCUCGCUGCUCUGGGCAUCCCUUCUCUCUUGGGCAUGGGAAGCCACCAGCUGUUCUCAGAGCUCCGACCUUUCCACAGAAGUCCACCAGAGCUGGGGUUUUGCCCCAAGAUGAGCUGAUAAAGGUAAAGAGAAAAAGCUUGUAUCCAUGCAUGGAAGGCAUAGUUGAAUUUCUGCCAACUGGUAAUAACUGGGAAGGUGUUAGUUGCAGGAAAAUACUAUCCUAGAGCUUCCUUUCUGAAGACAUGGGUAUAAAGAAAACAGAGCAAAAGAAUGCCAGCCAAAGCAUGCCAUGAAUCUGGCUUGUGAGUUUCAGCUCAAUAAUGCCUGGAAGUAAAUGUCCUCUCUCUCUCUUUUUUUUUUUUUUUUUUUUUUUUUUUUUUUUUGUGUGUGUGUGUGUGUGUGCCUAAUUUCAUUUUGGAUCAGACCUUUCUCUGUCUUUUGCAGAAGAUACCUGUUGGAAUUGCUCAGGCUGCUGUCUCAGGAUUACAUUGCAAUUUGGUGUACUCAAGGUCAGCGGUCAGGUUGUGCUGGAGCCCACAGGCUCCCUACUAAAAAGAGAGAGCAGCAGUGCACUGCAGGACUGGUUAACAAGCACUUUAAUUAAAGAACAUCCAUCAGCAUUCACUCAGCGCGGCGAAGUGCCACUUUCAGCAAAGCUGCACCCGGAAUGCAUUUGGCCGUUUGCAACAGCAGCUCUAAAUCUGAUGGUGACAGCAAACGAUUGCCACGAAGCCAGUUACAACCUUUUUUUCCACUACUGAGCAGAGAAGGAGGUGGAGGGGAGACACUGCUCUGCCCCACUGCCUCAUCCCACUGCUUUGUGGUCUGGUCCCACCAGCUCCUGAGCAACAAGGGUUCUGUGUGGGAGUAUCCCAUGACCAUCACACCCCGUGUUAGGUUCCUUACUUCUGUGGAGGGGAAUGUGGCAGACCCACGUGGUAACAACAGACACCAGGAGCUUCUCAAACCCCAAUACCUGCUGUCCUGAGCACACCACACUUUUCUCUGAUCUUGCCUUUUAUGGCAAAAAUUCAGACCAACCUGUGCAUAUGCAGUGACAACAACAACAUAAAGCCAUUAACUUUUAACAUUAACACUUAUCAUUAACAAGGAGCUCAGUUAGACAUGCAAUCCACUCUUUCAUGCAAUAUAUCAUAGUUACUAUUAUAAUAUAAAUACCAAUAUAAAAUACAUUGCUAAAUAUAAAUUACUACUAAAGAAAAGAAGGAGAAAAAUACAUGGCAUGUGUUAGUCACAUCAUUUAGUGUACUCCUUAAAGAUACUCAUAAGCAGUGGAGGGAACAGCAGUACAAGGACAUUAAUACAAUAGAGUAGAACAGAAAAGAAUAGAAACAAAGUGACAAGAUAAGUGAGGCAAACAAAGCAGUGGCCAUAAAAAGAAACCUGGACACUUCUGUAUUAUGAAGUACCAUGAAAUGGAGAAACCUACAACCUCAGGGAAAUAUAUGUAUGUAUAUAUAUAUAAAAUUAUAAUUUUAAAACACUAUUUUAAAAAGGUUCUGUUAAUCUUCAUAUGGACGCUAGAUGGGGAUCUUGAGUCAGCCAUGCAAAAGACUCCUUUAUCCUGCUUUUUCUUUAUUUUAAUCUGUUUUAUCACGGACAGAGUACAUGCAAUGCAAGUUUACUCUUCAGGCAUUUAUAUUUUUACUAGUUUUUUUUUUUUUUUUUUGGGGGGGGGGGCAGUAAUCUAAAGUAAAUAAAUAUUUACUUUUAAACCUACA